UACGAAGGGGGCUAGCGUUGUUCGGAAUCACUGGGCGUAAAGCGCACGCAGGCGGAUCGUUAAGUCGGGGGUGAAAUCCCGAGGCUCAACCUCGGAACUGCCUUCGAUACUGGCGAUCUUUGAGUCCGGGAGAGGUGAGUGGAACUCCGAGUGUAGAGGUGAAAUUCGUAGAUAUUCGGAAGAACACCAGUGGCGAAGGCGGCUCACUGACCCGGUACUGACGCUCAGGUGCGAAAGCGUGGGGAGCAAACAGG
rnacentral:rRNA from 1 species